rnacentral:rRNA from 1 species
CAUUUAUUUCGUAGAUGUUUUAGUGGCGAACGGGUGAGUAAUACAUAGAAUCUGCCCUUUUGAGAGGGAUAUCCAUGAGAAAUUGUGAGUAAUACCUCAUAAGCUCGAAAGAGGAAAGGUCGUAAGGCCGCUGAAGGAGGAGUCUAUGUCGGAUUAGAUAGUUGGUGGGGUAAUGGCCUACCAAGUCGAUGAUCCGUAGCUGGUUUGAGAGGAUGAUCAGCCACACUGGGACUGAGAUACGGCCCAG